rnacentral:rRNA from 1 species
AUACAGAGGGUGCGAGCGUUAAUCGGAAUUACUGGGCGUAAAGCGCGCGUAGGCGGUCUAUUAAGUCAGAUGUGAAAUCCCAGGGCUCAACCUUGGAACUGCAUCUGAUACUGGUAGACUAGAGUUUUGGAGAGGGAAGUAGAAUUUCAGGUGUAGCGGUGAAAUGCAUAGAGAUCUGAAGGAAUACCAGUGACGAAGGCGACUUCCUGGCCAAAAACUGACGCUGAGGUGCGAAAGCGUGGGUAGCAAACGGAAUUAGAUACCCCUGUAGUCC